UUGUCCUGGCCUAUGCUCUCUCUGCUCAGCUGUUAACAGGAAAGUCUGGCAGGACACACAGCAACCUCCCUCUCAGUUUAGGAGGGCUUUCCUGAGUAUAGGCUGGAUCUAAAAGGCACGAGGACAAU